UCGUACAACCGAGGCACGAAGGCUGUCGCUGACCCUUUAGGGUCGUGCACGCCCGACUGCUCUCACACAUCCAUCUCACCCUUUUGUGCACCACCGCGUGAGCCCUCCUCUCGGGGGGCUUGCGUUUUUAUACAAAUACUCGAUACGAUGUAGAAUGCAUUAUCUGUUUGCGAUCACACGCAAUAAAUA
rnacentral:misc_RNA from 1 species